rnacentral:rRNA from 1 species
GCUUCCGGAGCUAACGCGUUAAGUCGACCGCCUGGGGAGUACGGCCGCAAGGUUAAAACUCAAAUGAAUUGACGGGGGCCCGCACAAGCGGUGGAGCAUGUGGUUUAAUUCGAUGCAACGCGAAGAACCUUACCUGGCCUUGACAUCCACGGAAUUCGGCAGAGAUGCCUUAGUGCCUUCGGGAACCGUGAGACAGGUGCUGCAUGGCUGUCGUCAGCUCGCGUUGUGAAAUGUUGGGUUAAGUCCCGCAACGAGCGCAACCCUUAUCCUUUGUUGCCAGCGAGUAAUGUCGGGAACUCAAAGGAGACUGCCGGUGACAAACCGGAGGAAGGUGGGGAUGACGUCAAGUCAUCAUGGCCCUUACGGCCAGGGCUACACACGUGCUACAAUGGCGCAUACAAAGAGAAGCGAACUCGCGAGAGCAAGCGGACCUCACAAAGUGCGUCGUAGUCCGGAUCGGAGUCUGCAACUCGACUCCGUGAAGUCGGAAUCGCUAGUAAUCGUAGAUCAGAAUGCUACGGUGAAUACGUUCCCGGGCCUUGUACACACCGCCCGUCACACCAUGGGAGUGGGUUGCAAAAGAAGUAGGUAGCUUAACCUUCGGGAGGGCGCUUACCACUUUGUGAUUCAUGACUGGGGUGAAGUCGUAACAAGGUA